rnacentral:rRNA from 1 species
AUUGAACGCUGGCGGCAGGCCUAACACAUGCAAGUCGAGCGGAGCGGCGGACGGGUGCGUAAUGCCUAGGAAUCUGCCUGGUAGUGGGGGAUAACGUCCGGAAACGGGCGCUAAUACCGCAUACUAUCAGAUGAGUCUAGGUCGGCUUAGCUAGUUGGCGGGGUAAAGGCCUACCAAGGCGACGACCCGUAACUGGUCUGAGAGGAUGAUCAGUCACACUGGAACUGAGACAUGGUCCAGACUCCGACGGGAGGCAGCAGUGGGGAAUAUUGGGCAAGGGGCGAAAGCCGGAUCCAUCCAUGCCCCGUAUGUGAUGAAGGUCUUCGUAUUGUAAAGCACUUUAAGUUGGGAGGCGUUACCAACAGAAUAAGCACCGGCUAACGUCGUGCCAGCAGCCGCGGUAAUAC